rnacentral:rRNA from 1 species
CUACGGGUUGCAGCAGUGAGGAAUAUUGCACAAUGGGGGAAACCCUGAUGCAGCAACGCCGCGUGGAGGAUGACGCAUUUCGGUGUGUAAACUCCUUUUAUAUGUCAAGAAAAUGACGGUAGCAUAUGAAUAAGCACCGGCUAACUCCGUGCCAGCAGGCCGCGGUAAUACGGAGGGUGCAAGCGUUACUCGGAAUCACUGGGCGUAAAGGACGCGUAGGCGGGUUGGAAAGUCAGGUGUGAAAUCCUACAGCUUAACUGUAGAACUGCACUUGAAACUUCUAAUCUAGAGUAUGGGAGGGGGAGAUGGAAUUAGUGGUGUAGGGGUAAGAUCCGUAGAUAUCACUAGGAAUACCUAAAGCGAAGGCGAUCUCCUGGAACAUUACUGACGCUAAGGCGUGAAAGCGUGGGGAGCAAACAGGAUUAGAUACCCGGGUAGUC